GUUGAAUAAUAAAAAUAAUGGAAAAGUCCCCUUCUAGGAAUUCAAUCCAAUGCACGCGCGUUCAUCUUUCAUUUUCCCCCAAAUUGCUUUAGCCAUUUUUGUGUUCCUUCUUAGAUGCAAACCCUUCCGUUUCACUUUCAUUAUCAAAUUUUCCCGUCAAAUGGAAAUAUUUCACCGAAUUUCGUCCUAUCAAUCAGCACUUCUCUACUCUUCUCACCUCGUUGCAUCCAUCAUCACUGUUCUCUCAUCACCCAGAAAACCCUAAUCUUCUUCCUUGCCAUUCAAAAUCAAGACAUAGAAUAGCUGAGGAGUAGAAUCCUUAGUCAAUCAAAGUUGAAAAUUCAGGCUGGGUUUUAGUGUGCAGGGAAGAAAAAAAAGAAAAGGAUCUCGACUGCUGCUUUGAGUGCUCUCCCAAAUCUCUCUCCUCACUUUCAGACGAAAGUCACGAAAUUCGUCCAGAAAUUUCUCCAGGUUAUGAUGGCUCCGAUUAGGAAGUAUCCUUCUGGGGUUAAAAAAAGAAAAGAGAAGCAAAAGAGAGAGGCAUUGGUUAAGCUUCAAGCCGGAUGUACUUCAACGCAAAUGCUGAACAAGUACAAGAGAAUGAGAAUGAGAAUGAUAAUGUGAAUGAGAGUACAGAAGAGAUUUUUUUUUUUUUUUUUUUUUUUUAUAAAAUAUAUUUAAAGGUAGGGAGCCCCCAUUUUUUUUUUCCGCCUAGA